rnacentral:rRNA from 1 species
GACGAACGCUGGCGGCGUGCCUAAUACAUGCAAGUAGAACGCAGUGGCGUACGGGUGAGUAACACGUGGGUAACCUGCCCUGCACUUCGUGAUAAGCCUGGGAAACUGGGUCUAAUACCGGAUAGUGUGGGAUGGGCCCGCGGCCUAUCAGCUUGUUGGUGGGGUAAUGGCCUACCAAGGCGGCGACGGGUAGCCGGCCUGGGAGGGUGGACCGCCACAUUGGGACUGAGACACGGCCCAUAGUCCUACGGGAGGCAGCAGGGGGGAAUCGUGCGCGAUGGGCGGAGGCCUGAUGCAGCGACGCCGCGUGGGGGAUGUCGGUCUUCGGGUUGGAAACUUCUUUCACCAUCGACGCGGUAGAUGGAGAAGAAGCACCGGCUAACUACGUGCCAGCAGCCGCGGUAAUUC